CUGUAAUUUCCGAUACGGAAGCGCGAAACGCGAACACAUUUCCGACGAGCACGGACUCGGCGCGACACGAGCGCGGUUCGAGGAAACACGAAAGUAAGAAAGAACGAGGAGGAAAAGAAAAAAAACGUUGGAAGAAGGAACGAAACGGAAGAGGAAGAAGAGAAGAAAAUACGAUCGGUUGACGUAUAGCUCCGAGUGUAUACGUAAUGUAACGAGGAGCAAUCGCGUUGUCGGACGACCCGGAGCGAGUACCGCGGUCGACAGCGAGUCGUGCCAGUUCUGACCUUGGCAUUGAACUUGCGGCAGCGCCCGAGAGAGAAGGGAGAGCCGAGCCGCACCGAAAAAGAGGGGGAAGCUCCCAACGCGACGCGAGCGCGGGGCUACGUAUACAGAUAUUUCCCGGUACAUACAUGCAACGCAUAUACUCUCGAGUUCUGAACGGAAAAAAAGAACAGAAAACACAGAGAUAUACGAAUGUGCCUCGGGGUCUCGAAAAUAAAGAAAAAAGUCGGCGGAGGCACAAUAUGAAAUUUCAUGCGGACUACGCCAUUUUUAUUCUCAGUUCCGAACCCAAACAAAACAGAUAAAUCGAGAGAGAGAGAAAUAAAUGUGCUGACGCGUAUGGAACUAGCGAGAUAUGGAUUUUAAACACACCCGUGUAUUUCGUCGGUAGAGAAAACGUCGCAAUUCGGGGGACCCAGAACCCGAAACGUAAUUACGGCUGUUAGUCGUCAGCGGUUUCCGUAACGUAGGUGGAUUCAAAUGCAGUGAGAGAGCGAUGGAAGUGGUGGAGAAUACACGUCGAGGCACACGCAUGACAGAAAGGCGUCUUCGUCUCGAGCCUGACGCAGUAUUUUUCGGGCCUUUCGUACAGUCGAAUAUUUAUUGAAUGAAUGAAAAAGGGGAGGGGCGGAUCGAGAGGGGCCCUCAUGACCGCAAAUACGAUGGAGUGGAAUAAAAAAUUUUAUGAAAUAGAAGUGAGCCUGUGAAAUUUAGUGGGUUACGCCUUUUUGCUUGCCAACUGCAGAUUUAUGUACGGAACGAGAGGAAGGAGAGAACGUUUUGCAAGGUGAAGCGGAGGGGGGAGUGGAGGGAAAUGUUGCGUCACCUCGCGCAAGCCUAAACGCCACGCGUCAAUACAGCCAUGAUACGCGCGCGCAUACAGCUUUUUCUACUGCCACCGAAAGACCACCACCACCGCCGCACGAGCACUACGAUCGGCCAUCAUCGGAUAGGACAGCGCGAACGCGGCUACGCGCAACUGUAACCUUCGCCGUUGCCUGUCGCUUCGAUCGACUCGGCAGAUUAUGCCAUAUAUCGUGCUUGCAUAUAAAUAUAUUUAUACACGUACAUAAAUAUAUCGGUGUACCUGGACUCCGCUGCUCACGUACAAACGUAUUUAUACACCUACGGAUAAUGCCUAUAGAUCCAUCGACGUGCCUAUCUCUUCCAUUUUUGAGCCAGCGACGAACGCACACUACGAGCUCGAAAAUUUAUUCGUACUUUUUUGUCUUAACCUCAAAAAUCAUGCUUUCGAUUUCUUUUUCUUGUCACAUGCUCUUCGAAACAUAUGCUAACGUAAGACGCUCGAGAAUACGUGCCAAAGUGCGCUCCCAAGUUGCUCGGAGAACGGCAGCGGGUUGCUUCGUCUCACGAAACUCUUGGAAAUUUUGGACAACAUUUUUGUGGACUGUUCAACGACUUGGAAGCUGACGCUGUGAAAGUCCGCACACGAUAAUGGCGGGAAGGGUUUCCCAACGAACUCGAUGGGAAAAUGAACAUUUAUAUUUUGCUAUUUUCUCCAUCACGCUCCGAACGAUAAAAACGUCCCGCGCUUUAUGUUUUCACGUUUUGACGCGGUAUUGGUUAACGAGGCUCACCGAACCGGAAACUCUGGGCAAACUUUCAGCCGCACACUAUAAAAGGGUCGAUUGCUUUUUCAGUGUAUAUCGGGGAGGAAAAAACGUUGACAAGUGACGCGAAGGCUUCAUAAAAUAUGCAGAGCAAAAUCGAUUAUUCCGACAAUACAAAUUUGUGAGUGACAACGAAAGUGACGACAUCUACCGGCGAAUUGUGGAAACUCGUCUCGCUUUUUUUUACUCUCGUGGAAUUCGGCAAGUGAAUCAUUCUUUGUGCUCUUCAUUAAGCACCCAAGUUUCAGCCAAGUUUUAUUCAGAUUUUUGCGUUGUUGUCAUUUUUAAAAUACAAUUUGUGACUCUCGUCAACGCAUUAUUGAGUGACGUGAAUUUAAAAAUUUUGUCAAACUUUCGAUCGAAAAUAAAGAAAAUUCCUGAAAAAUAUUUGACUCAACGGCUUCCCGAGACACUUGUAUAUACGCUGAACUCCAGCUGCCUCUUACGAAAGCACGUUCUUAUCGCUCGGCGAGCUGGUAAAAUAAAAACAUACAAGAAUGCAGCAAGUGGACGCUUUUGUUGGUUUGUUCCAUUCGACGCGAGUUCGGAGCAGGAUAAUUAUUGCUCGACUCUGGAGGGGGAAGGAGAGGAACUGAAAAUUCGACGUUAGAUUUUCUCGCUCGAGUGUUAAACGUUUUCUUCUGAACGAAUCGCCGAAUUUUCUUCACGGCUUUGCCAUCUCAUUGCUUCAAGACUUUGCAAUCAUUGCGAGUUGAACGAAAGUUGAAAUUCUUUCGAAAAAAAUUGGAAUUUUAAGUACUACAAAAGAUACUUGGAAAUGAGAAAUUCUAUUUCCUCUUACAGAAAUAAGUGAACAGCCUCGCAAAACACUUGGAAACUGGAUCCUACGAUUACGAUUUCGUUGUGUAUUUAUGGAAAUGGACGUAAGGACAGGGAAAUAUUGAAUCGGCACUGGUCGAAAGAUGUGCAUACGGCUAAACCCUGUUUGUCUGGACUCCAAUCCAAAGAGCUGACCGGCUGAGACGAUAGUGUGCUGUUUUGUAAUAAGCUAAGAUUCCCUACAACACCCUGGAAAAUUCCUUCUGCAUCUGCGAGUCUUCUUUUAUCAGGACACAGAGAACCUGCACCUCCACAAGUCAUGAAUAUGUCCCGAUUUUGGGGCAAAUGCCGGACCAACCAGACUGUUGAUUUGUGAGCCUUCAAAAA
rnacentral:lncRNA from 1 species